AAGCUCGUAGUUGAAUUUCGCGCCUAGCUGGACGGUCCGCCCUUCGGGUGAGUACUGUCUGUGGUCGGGUCCUACCUUCUGGCGAAGCGUCAUGGCCUUAACCGGCCGUGGCGGGGAACCAGGACUUUUACUGUGAAAAAAUUAGAGUGUUCAGAGCAGGCAAUCGCUUGGAUACAUUAGCAUGGAAUAAUGGAAUAGGAUAAUGGUUCUAUUUGUUGGUUUCUAGGACCGUUGUAAUGAUUAAUAGGGAUAGUUGGGGGCAUUAGUAUUCAAUUGUCAGAGGUGAAAUUCUUGGAUUUAUUGAAGACUAACUACUGCGAAAGCAUUUGCCAAGGAUGUUUUCAUUAAUCAAGAACGAAAGUUAGGGGAUCGAAGACGAUCAGAUACCGUCGUAGUCUUAACCAUAAACUAUGCCGACUAGGAAUCGGGCGAUGUUGAAAAAAUGACGCGCUCGGCACCUCAUGGGAAACCAAAGUGUUUGGGUUCCGGGGGGAGUAUGGUCGCAAGGCUGAAACUUAAAGGAAUUGACGGAAGGGCACCACCAGGGGUGGAGCCUGCGGCUUAAUUUGACUCAACACGGGAAAA
rnacentral:rRNA from 1 species